AGAUCAGCUGCGCCUGACGUAGGAUUAAAUGCGGUUUGCUUCUGUGCAUUUGGCAUAAUGCCCCUACCCUGUAGGGUUGCCAGUGAGAAGAUGGUCCCUAGAGCUCUCACAUUGGGAAUGAUGCGGGGGACCUACAAAAUGUAAUGCCUUCACCCCAGAAGACAUACAAAUAUGAUAGUCAACCCCUGUAACACAUCUUAUUUGAGUAUGGAAGUUGUAGCUUUCGUAAGCAGAAAAGCAUCAGAGCACCGCGCUUAACUGCUUAACUUCUGUACCUCAAGGAAAAAUAAUAAUACGGUGAAGAAUAAAUUCUCACACUCCUCAUCUCUCCUCCGAGGGGAAGCUGGUCUAACACUCCCUUACCUGUGCCGGGAAGUGAUAACUCGGCCCGUCUGUUCCCAGGUACAGAAGGGCAGCCCUGCCAAGCUGGCUGGGCUGGAGGAGGACGACAUCAUCAUCGAAGUGAAUGGGGCGAAUGUGCUGGACGAGCCCUAUGACAAGGUGGUGGAGAGAGUCCAGAGCAGUGGGAACAAUGUCACUCUCUUAGUCUGUGGAAAGAAGGCCUAUGAUUAUUUCCAGGCUAAGAAAAUCCCCAUUGUUUCCUCCAUGGCUGAGCCACUGGAUGCCCACCCUGAGACCCCAAAAGGAACAUCAGCGGAGGUGGAGCAUGGCUCGCACGCAGCAAAAGAACGAGCCCACAGUACAGCCUCGCAUUCCUCCUCCAGUUCUGAAGAUACACAGAUGUGAGGAGGACACAUCGUGGCUUUGGCUGGUGGCUGUUUCUGGGUAUUUAAUGGGGAUCCUUUCCUAAGGCAUGAGCUGCCACCCAUUUGCUGUCUCAGAAAAGAACUCCGGAAACCAGCUCAUCAAGUGGGAUUUGUUUUCUGUGGUCAUUUGUCUCAGGGGCAGCUACUGCCGAUGGCUUAUUUAUGGUUAACUUAGGAAAAGUGAAGGCAGGAGCCAGAUUCUUUUCAUGGGAGCUCUUUCAGGCUUCCACUUAACUACAUUUCUCUGUAUGAUGACAUCUCUUCUGUAGGCUCCUUGAGCACCAAGGGUGAUUUAUAAAUUUGUAUAUGUAAGAGCCAACUAAAGUAUCUGAGAGAUAAUCCUAUUAAAAUUACACUUUUUAAAGGA